rnacentral:rRNA from 1 species
UGGGGAAUAUUGCACAAUGGGGGAAACCCUGAUGCAGCGACGCCGCGUGAGCGAAGAAGGCCUUCGGGUCGUAAAGCUCUUUUAUGAGGGAAGAUAAUGACGGUACCUCAAGAAAAAGCCCCGGCUAACUACGUGCCAGCAGCCGCGGUAAUACGUAUGGGGCGAGCGUUGUCCGGAAUUAUUGGGCGUAAAGGGUACGUAGGCGGUCUAUUAAGUCAGGUGUGAAAGCGUGAGGCUUAACCUCAUUAAGCACUUGAAACUGAUAGACUUGAGUGAAGGAGAGGAAGGUGGAAUUCCUAGUGUAGCGGUGAAAUGCGUGGAUAUUAGGAGGAAUACCGGUGGCGGAGGCGACGUUCUGGUGUUUUACAGACGCUCAGGUACGAAAGCGUGGGGAGCAAACAGG